rnacentral:lncRNA from 1 species
CAACCACCUACGGAAUCCCUCCAGCGGCUGUGCCCCUAGCUCUCGUCAGGACUGGCAGCCACAGUGACCCAUCUCUGUGCCUACGUGGGCAGGGUGCCUGUGCUGGAGCCGCGAGCAGCCACAGAGACUGGAGGCCAGACGGGAAAGAGGCCAAUGGCCCUGGCUAAUUUGGAGAACAUGACCCCACAGAGGUGCUCUCACUCCAUGAGUUCUUUGGGGUUAGGAGGCAGGUCUGUGCCCCCCUUGUUCCCAGCGACGUUUCCAGGCCGUAUCCCCACUGAGGAACCUGGUGCUAUUACAUGGCUUCCUCGCCAUCUCGAGCGCUGCCCCCACCCCCUGCCAGGGUGACUUCAGCAGUCUCCCUCUCCGGCCCGAGCCCCUCAUCUCCAGGGCUUUCUCCCCUGCACUGCUGUGGCCAUGCCCUAGAUACUGCCAUACUCAGAAUGGCCCUACUCCCCAAAACGUGGCCUCCAACACCCCCUUGCAGACCCUCACCUUGUCCCAGCGCAGCUGCUCAAGGUCCCCGGCACUGUGCUGGCUCUACACACCCCCCUGCCCCCCGGGACCUCCGCCCAUUGACCUACCAUCCUUACCGGCCUCGGUAUUGGGCUUUGAGCCCAAGGUCCUGCACUUCACCGCUCUACACAUACCCCCAAUUCCCUCACCUACUUCCCUUUCCGCACUCCCGCCCAGCCUGCGCCAAGCCCAGGACGGAUCCAAUCCUCUGCCCUGUUCAAGGCAGCCCGGGGGCAGGUAGAAAAAUGUCGCCUGCCCAUGCACUCUAUGAGCACAUCCCCAGUGGCCUCACCUGGGCGCCUGCAGCCUGCGGCCUCUGUUCUCUGCCCAGCUCACUCCGCCACUACACACAGAACGCUUUCCACCUCCUCCACGCUCCGCUAACCUCCAGCUCUCAGCUCACAACUGUCUCCCACUUUGCAGAGAAAACUGAAGCCUCCCACCAGCAGCUCCCUCCAUCUCUUGGCACCAAACCCACUGAACAACUGCGACCUCACUGAGCCACCCUUGCUUCCCACGAGGGGGGAAGGUGUGCCCCGCCGUCUAAGGCGG